UGUUUGGGUCCUUUUUCUGCUCCCCUCCGAGAGCGCACGCAGCGGUGGCAGGCAGAGAGUUUGAGGGACCCGAGGCUGGGGAAGAAGAAAGGGAUCCAGCCGAGAAGGCAGACUGAUGGCUGAAAGGAGCGGACACAGCAGGUGGAGAGUGAGGAGCAGAAGGAAGGGGGCCCGUGGGCACCUGGGGGCGCGGCACUUGCGGCCAGCCACCUGGCGCCAGAGCAGGUCACCGGCCCGGGCCACCGCCUCCCAGAGUGGUGGGGUUCUGAGAGCCGCCGGAGUCCCUGGAGUUGGUGCCGCCCGGGUGGCCCAGCACCUGCCAACCUGAACCGUUUGCCCAAAGCGCUGAAUAGCACAGGCUGCCGCUCUUAGAGUAGGGACAGCAGAAAAGGACUUCGCAUUUCCCCACAGUACCCUCCCUGUUGCUCUUCUGAGAAGCACUCCCGGUACCCCGUGGUGGGGCGCAGAAGCUCCGGGAGGGCAGCCCUGCCCCUCCCCCAGCCGCACGGCGCCGCAGCCCGCCUCUGGGGGCCGGUGCCGGGACACAGCUAUUCCUAGGGUCCAGAGAAGAAGCUCAGCUGUUUCUCCUUUCCAUUUAGGCCUUCUGGGUCCCCUAGCCCCCGUCUCCCUUUAGGUGGUCCUAGGCUUCCCCACAUGAAUGACUCCUGGACUGGGGGCGCUCCAAACCACGCCCCAAACCAGGGACUAAGCCGCGGGAGACCCCUUCUUGGCCCGGCUACCUCCUCUGAUUCUAGCCACGGAAGAGAUGGAGAGUGGGGGUAGGGUCCCUCUCCUACCACACCCCGAGGUCCAAGAGGCCGGCAAGGAGACUCGCACAGGCUGGGAUCAGACCCAACUCUGUAACAACUCCCGGACUCGGGGGCGCUCCCGCUUCCCUCCAGGUCCACCUCGGGCGGCGCUGGGGCUCCUGGCUCUCGGGGAUUGAAGGGUCUGGGAUCCCUAUGCGUCAAAGAAGAACCCAGGUGGAAGGCUCUGCACAGUACUUUGAGAGUUGGCAGAUGGGAAGACAUCCAACAAGAAAGGGUCACCUGCUCAGGACCAGCAACAACUCUCAUGUAGAAGCCAUGCCUGCCGGUCCUCCCUGGGCUUCUGUCCAGCAUUCCUUUGAAGACCCCAGCAGCUUUCUGACCCCAACUUCAAAGUUUCCACAAGAGGCCAGCCCCACCGAGUCUCCCUCCUCUGUCCCCUGGGAACUAUGGUACUUGGGCUCAAAAGCCACAUGCCCAGGGAGCUGGGCCUCAGGGCAGGGUCCAGGGGUGGGAGAGGAGGGUUUCCUUGUGGGGCCACCCACGCCCACAACCACUCUUUCCUGAGUGCCACUUGGAGCAGAGUCUGCAUCCCGACCAUCUUCUCUGAGAUGCUAGUGCCCAUCCCCAAGGCAGGUGCUCAGAGAGCACCGUGGGGUGCCACAUAGCCGUCCAGAGGAGGUCAGGCUGUUGAUAGGACAUCUCCCAGGAUGUCCUUCCCUGCCUAGCUCAGGUGUGGCCAGAGCCACAGGAAUUGCCUGGGCUUGGCUCACAUGUCCCCCUCUGAGCCAGUGAAAGCCUGACCCCAGCUGGAGUUGGAGACUGAUUCCUGGGCAUCUUCUCUUGGUUUUAGAAAAGCGUCUGUGAGAUGUCCAGCAGGGCUACAGGGCAGGGAGGAGGAGUGCUUGGGGAGCCCAUGCAGGCACCUGCAGGCCAAAGCACCCCGCCAGGGAGUAAGUGCGUUCUCUCUGCCUAAGCCACUGAGCUGGUCCAAAGGUUUUCAGAACCACUAGGCCCAUUAGCUGGCUGCACAGCUGGUUGGCAAGCCUCCAGUGGCCAGCCCCUGGGCCUGCCGGAACCUCAGAUUUUGUAGUAAAAACAGAAUCAUCUUAUUAAAUAAUAAAGCACAUCAUGGUUUUGGA